GCCUGUACGCAUGCGCCCACUAAUCCAAGCUGCUCAUGGGGCGCUCUGCGCAUGUGCCAUUUGGACAGUGAUGGGGAGGGGGCUUGAGCUUCGGUUGCUGAGAUUCCCAGCCUCGUUCUCGCUUCCUUGCGCUGUCGGGCGGUGCCUGCGCCCUUCCCAACUGCUGCGGUGUCGUUCCGCACGCGCCAUGGGCGGGAACGGCGGGAUUGUACGAGGGUCGUCCAGGCCGCCUGAAACCGUCCGUUUCCCGCCUCGCGAGUGCGCGCGACGUCCGCCUGGCGCUUUGGUAUCCCCAGUGAGAGAAGUCAGAAUGACAGCCACUACCUUUAUAAAAUGCUUCAAGACCUAUUCAGUGUGAAGACAGGCUGUAGCUCAUUUGGAAACCUCUUCAUACAGCUCAGGAGAAGAGAGAAUACCUGCAAGGAUACCAUUGGAAACUCAGAAGAGCAAUGAUGUCCAGCUAUCCAGAAAUAACUUAGAAAUACUGACCUUAUAGACGAUUUACAAUGGCAGCACAAUGA